rnacentral:rRNA from 1 species
GGGGAAUUUUGGACAAUGGGGGCAACCCUGAUCCAGCCAUGCCGCGUGAGUGAAGAAGGCCUUCGGGUUGUAAAGCUCUUUCGGCCGGGAAGAAAUCGUGCAGGCUAAUACCCUGUAUGGAUGACGGUAACCGGAGAAGAAGCCCGGGCUAACUUCGUGCCAGCAGCCGCGGUAAUACGAAGGGGGCUAGCGUUGCUCGGAAUCACUGGGCGUAAAGCGCACGUAGGCGGAUCGUUAAGUCAGGGGUGAAAUCCUGGGGCUCAACCUCAGAACUGCCCUUGAUACUGGCGAUCUCGAGUUCGAGAGAGGUUGGUGGAACUCCGAGUGUAGAGGUGAAAUUCGUAGAUAUUCGGAAGAACACCAGUGGCGAAGGCGGCCAACUGGCUCGAUACUGACGCUGAGGUGCGAAAGCGUGGGGAGCAAACA